rnacentral:rRNA from 1 species
CACGGAGUUAGCCGGUGCUUCUUCUGCGGGUAACGUCAAUCGACAAGGUUAUUAACCUUAUCGCCUUCCUCCCGCUGAAAGUACUUUACAACCCGAAGGCCUUCUUCAUACACGCGGCAUGGCUGCAUCAGGCUUGCGCCCAUUGUGCAAUAUUCCCCACUGCUGCCUCCCGUAGGAGUCUGGACCGUGUCUCAGUUCCAGUGUGGCUGGUCAUCCUCUCAGACCAGCUAGGGAUCGUCGCCUAGGUGAGCCGUUACCCCACCUACUAGCUAAUCCCAUCUGGGCACAUCCGAUGGCAAGAGGCCCGAAGGUCCCCCUCUUUGGUCUUGCGACGUUAUGCUGUAUUAGCUACCGUUUCCAGUAGUUACUCCCCCUCCAUCAGGCCAGUUUCCCAGACAUUACCUCACCCGUCCGCCACUCGUCAGCAAAGCAGCAAGCUGCUUCCUGUUACCGUUCGACUUGCAUGUGUUAGGCCUGCCGCAGCGUUCAAU